CCCCCCCCCCCCUUUUGAAGGAAAUCAGAGACGAGAGGGAGAAUCAAUUCCGAGAGCGAACCCUAAUGCAGAAUCUGAGAUCCAUGGCGUCUCGCUGUUUCUCUUCUUCACCGCGUGCUGACUAUGUGGAGUUCCGAAAAAAGAAAAACGCAGCUGAGGAAGCAUUCAAACUCCGGCGUGAUCGUCAUAACGAAGUGGUAGCCAAGCACAAGUCUGUUCUGCUGGGGAAGGAAUGAUUUUUAGAAGAGACAACGACAAGUUAGUGUUUGGUUUUUGUGUGUGUGUUGUUUGCUCCUGUAAAAGAAAACAAAAUCCAUUGAUUGUUCAGGAAGUUGCUUUGUCAUUUAUAUUGGAUCCGUCUUCUCUUUUGAGACAAUUGUCGUAUGAUUAUCUUCUAGUAAGAUAAAGUGUACAGUUCUAUCUAAAAAUUAAUUGUGGUAA